GAGAACAUUUCCUAGUGGAAAAGAGUGAUAGUUCAUUGUGAACUUUUAUUACAGCUUGGUUUGGACCAGGAGCUUUUUUGAGAACGUUCCCUGGUGGACGAGGGUGAUAGUUCAUUGAGAACUUUUAUCACCACUCAGUUUUGGACUAGGAGUUCACGGAGAAAAAUUUUUAGUGGACGAGAACAACAUUUCGUUGAGAACUUUUAUCACCGCCUGGUUUUAGAUUAGGAGUUCAUGGAGAAUAUUCCUUAGUGGAUGAGAGUGAC
rnacentral:lncRNA from 1 species